rnacentral:rRNA from 1 species
UAGGGAAUCUUCGGCAAUGGACGAAAGUCUGACCGAGCAACGCCGCGUGCGUGAAGAAGGUUUUCGGAUCGUAAAACUCUGUUGUUAGAGAAGAACAAGGACGUUAGUAACUGAACGUCCCCUGACGGUAUCUAACCAGAAAGCCACGGCUAACUACGUGCCAGCAGCCGCGGUAAUACGUAGGUGGCAAGCGUUGUCCGGAUUUAUUGGGCGUAAAGCGAGCGCAGGCGGUUUCUUAAGUCUGAUGUGAAAGCCCCCGGCUCAACCGGGGAGGGUCAUUGGAAACUGGGAGACUUGAGUGCAGAAGAGGAGAGUGGAAUUCCAUGUGUAGCGGUGAAAUGCGUAGAUAUAUGGAGGAACACCAGUGGCGAAGGCGGCUGUCUGGUCUGUAACUGACGCUGAGGCUCGAAAGCGUGGGGAGCAAACAGG